AAUGACGUAAUUUAUUGUAAGAGAAUGCCUACUCUGCAAGUAGGUUGUGGGGAACCCCGUUGUUG
rnacentral:tRNA from 1 species